AAGUAGACAUUCUAAGACGUUGCU
rnacentral:miRNA from 1 species